rnacentral:rRNA from 1 species
UACGUAGGCAGCAAGCGUUGUUCGGAGUUACUGGGCGUAAAGGGUGUGUAGGCGCCUGUUAAGUUCCGUGUGAAAUCUCCCGGCUCAACCGGGAGGGUGCGCGGAAAAACUGGCGGGCUAGAGUGCGGGGAUGGGGAGAGUAGAAUUCCUGGUGUAGCGGUGAAAUGCGUAGAUAUCAGGAGGAAUACCGGUGGUGUAGACGGCUC